UGGGAUGUCGCCAAGUGGUAAGGCACUGGUUUUUGGUACCAGCAUCCGCAGGUUCGAAUCCUGCCAUCCCAG
rnacentral:tRNA from 1 species